ensembl:snRNA U6 U6 spliceosomal RNA
GUGUUGGGUUUGGCAGUACAUAUACUAAAAUUGGAAUGAUACAGAGAUGAUUAGCAUGGCCCCUAUGCAACGAUGACACUCAAAUCAUGAAGCAUUUCAUAUUUUA